GAUGAAGAACGUAGCGAAAUGCGAUAAGUAAUGUGAAUUGCAGAAUUCAGUGAAUCAUCGAAUCUUUGAACGCACAUUGCGCCCGCCAGUAUUCUGGCGGGCAUGCCUGUCUGAGCGUCAUUUCAACCCUCAUGCCCCUAGGGCGUGGUGUUGGGGAUCGGCCAAAGCCCGCGAGGGACGGCCGGCCCCUAAAUCUAGUGGCGGACCCGUCGUGGCCUCCUCUGCGAAGUAGUGAUAUUCCGCAUCGGAGAGCGACGAGCCCCUGCCGUUAAACACCCAACUUUCCAAGGUUGACCUCAGAUCAGGUAGGAAUACCCGCUGAACUUACGCAUAUCAAUAAGCGGAGGA
rnacentral:misc_RNA from 1 species